GGCGUCAUAACGCUCUCACAGCUUCCUUAAAAGACUGCGCUUUUAGGUUGGUGUUGAACCAUGAGCCUCCUUCACAUACUGUGACACUAGCGAAGUUUCGAAGUGAAAACUUUUGUGGGGAACGCAAUAUGGCACAGCCAUCUGUUUUUUGUGCUGUCUUUCUCCUGUUGAUAACAACGGUGUCUGCUCUAGCUGAAGAAGAAAGUAGUGAAGAUGAUAUAGUUUAGAUCGAAAGGAGAACGCUACAGAGGUAUUGAUCUACCAAACUGAAAACAGCACAUGCGCCGUGUUUUGGAUCCUAACCUAUAAAAGAAGUUCUCGUAACAGUCGUCAUCGUCAGCAUUAUCCUGACUACGUCAUCUGGAGAAAAUACCCUCACCUCACCAGCUCACGUGCUUCUGUGCAAACUGUGGUGAUGUUAACUCCGCGAACUUCAGAACCCUAUUUGGUCAUCUAACUUUCAAUCUCUAUAUAUAUAGCCUUGCCUUCAAGUCUAGUCUGAUGCUC